AUUGAACGCUGGCGGCAUGCCUUACACAUGCAAGUCGAACGGCAGCACGGGUGCUUGCCCCUGGUGGCGAGUGGCGAACGGGUGAGUAAUACAUCGGAACAUGUCCUGUAGUGGGGGAUAGCCCGGCGAAAGCCGGAUUAAUACCGCAUACGAUCUACGGAUGAAAGCGGGGGACCUUCGGGCCUCGCGCUAUAGGGUUGGCCGAUAGCUGAUUAGCUCGUUGGUGGGGUAAAGGCCUACCAAGGCGACGAUCAGGAGCUGAUCUGAGAGGACGACCAGCCACACUGGGACUGAGACACGGCCCAGACUCCUAAGGGAGGCAGCAGUGGGGAAUUUUGGACAAUGGGCGAAAGCCUGAUCCAGCAAUGCCGCGUGUGUGAAGAAGGCCUUCGGGUUGUAAAGCACUUUUGUCCGGAAAGAAAUCCUUGGCUCUAAUACAGUCGGGGGAUGACGGUACCGGAAGAAUAAGCACCGGCUAACUACGUG
rnacentral:rRNA from 1 species